rnacentral:other from 1 species
AACACCCUGCGGUGUCCGUGAUUGGAUCUUACAAUUUGCAGCCAACACUUUGUAAUAGGGUAUGAUAUCGUUUGGUGGUGUGCAAGCCCGUAUUUUGACGGGAAGCCUAAAGCCAGAGUAUCACUCCCGACCUGUGAAAACAGGCUCAAAAUGUUUCUCCACACGGCACAUGCGGGGUUUAU